UGGUUAUGUGCCCCUGGGACUGGGAUAGCGUCGGGAAACUGACGGUAAUACCGGAUAAUAUCGAGAGAUCAAAUGGUGAGAUUCCGCCCAGGGAUCAGGCCGCGUUCUAUUAGCUUGUUGGCGGGGUAAUGGCCCACCAAGGCAAAGAUGGAUACCGGGUGUGAGAGCAUGGCCCGGCUCACUGGGACUGAGACACUGACCAGACACCUACGGGUGGCUGCAGUCGAGAAUCUUCGGCAAUGGGCGAAAGCCUGACCGAGCGACGCCGCGUGCGGGAUGAAGGCCCUCGGGUUGUAAACCGCUGUCAGUUGGGAGGAAAUGUUAGGGGGUUCUCCCCUUAACUUGACCGAUCUUCAGAGGAAGGACGGGCUAAGUUCGUGCCAGCAGCCGCGGUAAGGCGAACCGUCCAAACGUUAUUCGGUAUCACUGGGCUUAAAGCGUUCGUAGGCGGCCUGGAAGGUGAGAUGUGAAAGCCCUCGGCUCAACCGAGGAAUUGCGUUUCAAACCACCAGGCUUGAGGGAGACAGGGGUGAUGGGAACUGUUGGUGGAGCGGUGAAAUGCGUUGAUAUCAACAGGAACACCGGUGGCGAAAGCGCAUCACUGGGUCUCUUCUGACGCUGAGGAACGAAAGCUAGGGGAGCGAACGGGAUUAGAUACCCCGGUAGUCCUAGCCGUAAAC
rnacentral:rRNA from 1 species